AGAGUUUGAUCAUGGCUCAGAUUGAACGCUGGCGGCAGGCUUAACACAUGCAAGUCGAGCGGAGCGAGGGUGCUUGCACCUUAGCUUAGCGGCGGACGGGUGGGUAAUGCUUAGGAAUCUGCCUAUUAGUGGGGGACAACAUUCCGAAAGGAAUGCUAAUACCGCAUACGCCCUACGGGGGAAAGCAGGGGAUCUUCGGACCUUGCGCUAAUAGAUGAGCCUAAGUCAGAUUAGCUAGUUGGUGGGGUAAAGGCCUACCAAGGCGACGAUCUGUAGCGGGUCUGAGAGGAUGAUCCGCCACACUGGGACUGAGACACGGCCCAGACUCCUACGGGAGGCAGCAGUGGGGAAUAUUGGACAAUGGGCGCAAGCCUGAUCCAGCCAUGCCGCGUGUGUGAAGAAGGCCUUUUGGUUGUAAAGCACUUUAAGCGAGGAGGAGGCUACUGAGAUUAAUACUCUUGGAUAGUGGACGUUACUCGCAGAAUAAGCACCGGCUAACUCUGUGCCAGCAGCCGCGGUAAUACAGAGGGUGCGAGCGUUAAUCGGAUUUACUGGGCGUAAAGCGUGCGUAGGCGGCUUUUUAAGUCGGAUGUGAAAUCCCUGAGCUUAACUUAGGAAUUGCAUUCGAUACUGGGAAGCUAGAGUAUGGGAGAGGAUGGUAGAAUUCCAGGUGUAGCGGUGAAAUGCGUAGAGAUCUGGAGGAAUACCGAUGGCGAAAGGCAGCC
rnacentral:rRNA from 1 species